CCUACGGGUGGCAGCAGUGGGGAAUAUUGCACAAUGGGGGAAACCCUGAUGCAGCAACGCCGCGUGAGUGAUGACGGUCCUCGGGUUGUAAAGCUCUUUCUUCAGGGACGCUAAUGACGGUACCUGAGGCUGAAGCCACGUCUUACUACGUGCCAGCAGCCGGGGCAAUACGUAGGUAGCGAGCGUUGUCCGGAUUUACUGGGCGUAAAGGGAGCGUAGGCGGACUUUUAAGUGAGAUGUGAAAUACUCGGGCUCAACUUGAGUGCUGCAUUUCAAACUGGAAGUCUAGAGUGCAGGAGAGGAGAAUGGAAUUCCUAGUGUAGCGGUGAAAUGCGUAGAGAUUAGGAAGAACACCAGUGGCGAAGGCGAUUCUCUGGACUGUAACUGACGCUGAGGCUCGAAAGCGUGGGGAGCAAACAGGAUUAGAUACCCUUGUAGUC
rnacentral:rRNA from 1 species